AGUUAUUAAAUAUUUUUUAUUGCACUUUAAGAUCGGAAUUCCAGCAUUACAUAUCUCACUUGAGACGUACUUAAAAUUUUUCAACAUGUUAGAGGAGUCUUGUCAUACAAUUGACGUCAAAAUUGCAGAUCAAAUGGCAGUAAACAACCAAACACUUGAAUGUGAAGAGUUUAACAAAUAUAUUGAGAAACAACAACAAAUAAAACAACUUCAGAUAAGUAUUCAGAAUCUUGAAGAUAAAACACGAAUCAUAACAGAAGCACUUGAAACUCACAUAUUAUCUAACCCCGAAAAUGAAGAAUAUAUAAAGUUAAUAUUUGAACCACGCAUAAUUCACUUUGAAGAGAAAAAAAAAGAUCUCAGAAUUGAAAAUACUGAAAGACACCGACCAUGUAAAGAUGUCAUUUGGUCCACUAGUAAAUAAACUCGACGAGGUACUUAAUUUGUUAGGAGUGCAAAGACAAGCAUACCAUGGCAAAAAUUUUGUUGGUAAUCAUGUUAACAAGAUGUUAAAGAUGAAAAGUGUUCUCAAACUAUGCAACUCAAUACCAAAGCUCGUAGUCGAACUUGGGUUCACUGAUACGGACAUACACAAAGAAACUAUUGAACUUUGUCAGAAAUUUAAAGUCCUAUUUGAAAAAUUUGGAGUUAAAUAUUUGCUU